ensembl:lncRNA
UGGCUGACAACAAUAAAUAUUCUUAUUAGCAAUAAAACUUUUGAACUGUGCAGAGCUGUAGCUGAAUAGUUAGGCCUACUACGCUGCUGAAAUUUAAUGUUGGUCAUUAUGGUGGUACUUAGAGAGACAAAUAUUUUCUGAAGUGGUAUUUGGUAUAAAAAGUGUAAGAACCACUGGUUUAAAGAAAUGGUAUAAAACUAAAUCCUGCUUUUUAAGAACUUUUCAGUAAACCAUUUCUUUUUUCCUCUUGUAGAAUCAUCAAGGAUCCAGCUUAUUAUUGGCAAAUUGGAGUCAGACAGCGCCCAAGUGGGACGGAGUGGAGGGGAUGGCAUCAGAAAGGACCUAGAGCUUUCCCCUUCUAAUACAGAGCCUUUGGAAUCGUCCUAACCUCCCCCUUAAGGCGCCCCUGGUUGCAGGUUACAUUCCCAAACUGUUCAACACACUUUCACUGCACAAAUGUACAAAUCUCUUGCAAUGAGACACAUUAGUAAAACAUGUUUUCACAGAAACUGUAGUUUUCCACCAAAAUAAAAGAUCAACUGGUUUCA